rnacentral:rRNA from 1 species
UUUCUCCUACGGGGCGCAGCAGUGAGGAAUAUUGGUCAAUGGGCGAGAGCCUGAACUAGCCAAGCCGCGUGAGGGAAGACGGCCCUAUGGGUUGUAAACCUCUUUUGUCGGAGAACAAAACCCGGGACGUGUCCCGGACUGCGUGUAUCCGAAGAAAAAGCAUCGGCUAACUCCGUGCCAGCAGCCGCGGUAAUACGGAGGAUGCGAGCGUUAUCUGGAAUGAUUGGGCGUAAAGGGUGCGUAGGCGGCCUGCUAAGUCUGGAGUGAA